rnacentral:piRNA from 1 species
ACAGCAAAGAGCUAAAGGAGGGGAUGGUC